ACAUACAAAAUUCAAUUGACGGACUGAACAGACAGCAUUAGGAUUUCUAAUAUUGGGAUAAACUGUUAGGGAAUGUCAGCUCUAAGUAGAUGCAAAUGGCCCCGUGUCACUGUAUGGAAGAAGAGCAGGGGAUCUCCCCAGAAUCUUGGAGAAAAAAUGGUUGUACCAUGUGCUACCGCAGAGAGCACUGUGAAAAGGGACAACAGGUGGGACCAG